rnacentral:lncRNA from 10 species
GAUGGCUGAGGAAGAGCAAAAUUUCAACUUGACAAUCACAGAUGACUGCUGAAGCAGAUACAACCACUGAGGCAAAAAUCUGAUUGCAAGGAACCUGAACUCCCUGACUUGAACACCUGCAAAGGACAGGGAUUAGGGCCCUUAGGUACACUACUCUGCACCCAGGAGUUACAAAUCACUAACACUCUGAACUGUGACUUUUCUGGCGUCCCAUUCAGAUGAUUUUUAUGAUGUAUGUGGUUUUUAUUUGCUCUGUGGGCUUGCACAAGCCAUCCUAAGACCUUCAUGGUAAAAUUUCAAUCCUGUCUCAAAUUGACAGUUUAAACCCUUAAUAAAGCCUUAUAUUUUAAAGCACACAUACACACACACACAUACAUGUCAGGCCUCUGAACCCAAGCCAAGCCAUCGCAUCCCCUGUGACUUGCAUGUAUAUGCCCAGAUGGCCUGAAGUAACUGAAGAAUCACAAAAGAAGUGAAAACGCCCUGCCCCGCCUUAACUGAUGACAUUCCACCAUUGUGAUUUGUUCCUGCCCCACCUUAGCUGAGUGAUUAACCCUGUGAAUUUCCUUCUCCUGGCUCAGAAGCUCCCCGACUGAGCACCUUGUGACCCCCGCCCCUGCCCACCAGAGAACAACCCCCUUUGACUGUAAUUUUCCAUUACCUUCCCAAAUCCUAUAAAACGGCCCCACCCCUAUCUCCCUUCGCUGACUCUCUUUUCGGACUCAGCCCGCCUGCACCCAGGUGAAAUAGACAGCCAUGUUGCUCACACAAAGCCUGUUUGCUGGUCUCUUCACACUGACUCGAGUGAAAUUUGGUGCCGUGACUAGGAUCGGGGGACCUCCCUUGGGAGAUCAAUCCCCCGUCCUCCUACACUUUGCUCUGUGAGAAAGAUCCACCUACAACCUCAGGUCCUCAGACCAACCAGCCCAAGAAACAUCUCACCAAUUUCAAAUCCGGUAAGCGGCCUCUUUUUACUCUUUUCUCCAGCUUCCCUCACUGUCCCUCAACCUCUUUCUCCUUUCAAUCUUGGUGCCACACUUCAAUCUCUCCCUUCUCUUAAUUUCAAUUCCUUUCAUUUUCUGGUAGAGACAAAGGAGACACGUUUUAUCCGUGGACCCAAAACUCCGGCGCCAGUCACGGACUGGGAAGGCAGCCUUCCCUUGGUGUUAAAUCACUGCAGGGACGCCUCUCUGAUUAUUCACCCAUGUUUCAAAGGUGUCAGACCACGCAGGGACGCCUGCCUUGGUCCUUCACCCUUAGUGGCAAGUCCUGCUUUUCUGGGGAAGGGGCAAGUACCCCAACCCCUUCUCUCUGUGUCUCUACCCCUUCUCUGCUUUUCUGGGGGAGGGGCAAGUACCCCUCAACCCCUUCUCCUUCACCCUUAGUGACAAGUCCUGCUUUUCUAGGAGGCAAGAACCCCCAAUCCCUUAUUUCCACACCCUGACCUCUUAUCUCUGUGCCCCAAUCCCUUAUUUCCACACCCCAACCUCUUAUCUCUGUGCCCCAAUCCCUUAUUUCCGUGCCCCAACCCCCCUUCCCACUUUUCUGGAGGAUAAGAACCCCCGAACCCCUUCCCUCCGUGUCUCUAUGCUCUCUUUUCUCUGGGUUUGCCUCCUUCACUAUGGGCAACCUUCCACCUACCAUUCCUCCUUCUUCUCCUUUAGCCUAUAUUCUUAAGAAUUUAAAACCUCUUCAACUCUCACCUGACCUAAAAUCUAAGCAUCUUAUUUUCUUCUGCAAUGCCACUUGACCCCAAUACAAACUUGACAGUAGUUCCAAAUAGCCAGAAAAUGGCACUUCCAAUUUUUCCAUCCUACAAGAUCUAAAUAAUUCUUUUCGUAAAAUGGGCAAAUGGUCUGAGGUGCCUGACAUCCAGGCAUUCUUUUACACAAUAGUCCCUUCCUAGUCUCUGUGCCCAGUGCAACUUCUCCCAAAUCUUCCUUCUUUCCCUCCUGCCUGUCCCCUCAGUCCCAACCCCAAGCAUCGCUGAGUCUUUCUAAUCUUCCUUUUCUACAGACCCAUCUGACCUCUCCCCUCCUUGCCAGGCCAAGCUACGUCCCAAUUCUUCCUCAGCCUCCGCUCCUCCACCCUGCAAUCUUUUUAUCACCUCCCCUCCUCACACCUGGUCCUGCUUACAGUUUCAUUCUGUGACUAGCCCUCCCCCACCUGCCCAGCAAUUUACUCUUAAAAAAGUGGCUGGAGCCAAAGGCAUAGUCAAGGUUAAUGCUCCUUUUUCUUUAUGCCAAAUCAGAAGUGUUUAGGCUCUUUUUCAUCAAAUAUAAAAACCCAGCCCAGUUCAUGGCUCGUUUGGCAGCAACCCUGAGACGCUUCACAGCCCUAGACCCUAAAAGGUCAAAAGGCCAUCUUAUUCUCAAUAUACAUUUUAUUACCCAAUCUGCUCCUAACAUUAAAUAAAACCCCAAAAAUUGGAAUCUGGUCCUCAAACCCCACAACAGGACUUAAUUAACCUCACCUUCAAGGUGUACAAUAAUAAAAAAAAGUUGCAAUUCCUUGCCUCCACUGUGAGACAAAGCCCAGCCACAUCUCCAGCACACAAGAACUUCCAAACCCCUGAACUGCAGCAGUCAGGCAUUCCUCCAGAACCUCCUCCCCCAGGAGCUUGCUACAAGUGCCAGAAAUCUGACCACCAGGCCAAGGACUGCCGGCAGCCCAGGAUUCCUCCUAAGCCACGUCCCAUCUGUGUGGGACCCCACUGCAAAUCGGACUGUUCAACUCACCUGGCAGCCACUCCCAGAGCCCCUGGAACUCUGGCCCAAGGCUCUCUGACUGACUCCUUCCCAGAUCUUCUCGGCUUAGCGGCUGAAGACUGACACUGCCCGAUUGCCUCGGAAGCCCCCUAGACCAUCAUGGACGCCGAGCUUCAGGUAACUCUCACAGUGGAAGGUAAGCCCGUCCCCUUCUUAAUCAAUAUGGAGGCUACCCACUCCACAUUACCUUCUUUUUAAGGGCCUAUUUCCGUUGCCUCCAUAACUGUUGUGGGUAUUGACGGCCAGGCUUCUAAACCUCUUAAAACUCCCCAACUCUGGUGCCAACUUAGACAAUACUCUUUUAAGCACUCCUUUUUAGUUAUCCCCACCUGCCCAGUUCCCUUAUUAGGCUGAGACACUUUAACUAAAUUAUCUGCUUCCCUGACUAUUCCUGGACUACAGCUAUAUCUCAUUGCCGCCCUUCUUCCCAAUCCAAAGCCUCCUUUGCAUCCUCCUCUUGUAUCUCCCCAACUUAACCCACAAGUAUAAGAUACCUCUACUCCCUCCUUGGUGACCGAUCAUGCACCCCUUACCAUCUCAUUAAAACCUAAUCACCCUUACCCCACUCAACGCCAAUAUCCCAUCCCACAGCACGCUUUAAAAAGAUUAAAGCCUGUUAUCACUGGCCUGCUACAGCACAGCCUUUUAAAGCCUAUAAACUCUCCUUACAAUUCACCCAUUUUACCUGUCCUAAAACCAGACAAGCCUUACAACUUAGUUCAGGAUCUAUGCCUUAUCAACCAAAUUGUUUUGCCUAUCCACCCCGUGGUGCCAAAACCAUAUACUCUCCUAUCCUCAAUCCCUGCCUCUACAACCCAUUAUUCUGUUCUAGAUCUCAAACAUGCUUUCUUUACUAUUCCUUUGCACCCUUAAUCCCAGCCUCUCUUCGCUUUCACUUGGACUGACCCUGACACCCAUCAAGCUCAGCAAAUUACCUAGGCUGUACUGCCGCAAACCUUCACAGACAGCCCCCAUUAUUUCAAUCAAGCCCAAAUUUCUUCCUCAUCUGUUACCUAUCUUGGCAUAAUUCUCAUAAAAACACACAUGCUCUCCCUGCCAUUCUUGUCAGACUGAUCUCUCAAACCCCAGCACCUUCUACAAAACAACAACUCCCUUCCUUCCUAGGCAUAGUUGGUGCAGUCAGAAUUCUUACACAAGAGCCAGGACCGCACCCUGUAGCCUUUCUGUCCAAACAACUUGACCUUACUGUUUUAGCCUAGCCCUCAUGUCUGCGUGCAGCGGCUGCCGCUGCUUUAAUACCGUUAGAGGCCCUAAAAAUCACAAACUAUGCUCAACUCACUCUCUACAUUUCUCAUAACUCCCAAAAUCUAUUUUCUUCCUCAUACCUGAUGCAUAUACUUUCUGCUCCCUGGCUCCUUCAGCUGUACUCACUCUUUAAGUCCUACAAUUACCAUUGUUCCUGGCCCGGACUUCAAUAAGGCCUCUCACAUUAUUCCUGAUACCACACCUGACCCCCAUGACUGUAUCUCUCUGAUCCACCUGAUAUUCACCAUUUCCCCAUAUUUCCUUCUUUCCUGUUCCCCACCCUGAUCACGCUUGAUUUAUUGAUGGCAGUUCCACCAGGCCUAAUCGCCACACACAAGCAAAGGCAGGCUAUGCUGUAGUACAAGCCACUAGCCCGCCUCUCAGAACCUCUCAUUUCCUUUCCAUCCUGGAAAUCUAUCCUCAAGGAAAUAACUUCUCAGUGUUCCAUCUGCUAUUCUACUACUCCUCAGGGAUUAUUCAGGCCCCCUCCCUUCCCUACACAUCAAGCUUGAGGAUUUGCCCCCACCCAGGACUGGCAAAUUAGCUUUACUCAACAUUCCGGAGCCAGGAAACUAAAAUACCUCUUAGGCUGAAUAGACACUUUCACUGAAUAAGUAAAGGCCUUUCCUACAGGGUCUGAGAAGGCCACCGCAGUCAUUUCUUCCCUUCUGUCAGACAUAAUUCCUCAGUUUAGCCUUCCCACCUCUAUACAGUCUGAUAACAGACCAGCCUUUAUUAGUCAAAUCAGCCAAGCAGUUUUUCAGGCCCUUAGUAUUCAGUGAAACCUUUACAUCCUUUACGGUCCUCCGUCUUCAAGAAAAGUAGAAUGGACUAAAGGUCUUUUAAAAACACACCUCACCAAGCUCAGCCACCAACUUAAAAAGGACUGGACAAUACUUUUACCACUUUCGCUUCUCAGAAUUCAGGCCUGUCCUCAGAAUGUUACAGGAUACAGCCCAUUUAAGCUCCUGUAUAGAUGCUCCUUUUUAUUAGGCCCCAGUCUCAUUCAACACCAGACCAACUUAGACUGUGCCCCAAAAAAACUUGUCAUCCCUACUAUCUUCUGUCUAGUCAUACUCCUAUUCACCAUUCUCAACUACUCAUACAUGCCCUGCUCUUGUUUACACUGCCGGUUUACACUGUUUCUCCAAGCCAUCACAGCUGAUAUCUCCUGGUGCUAUCCCCAAACUGCCACUCUAAACUCUUGAAGUAAAUAAAUAAUCUUUGCUGGCAAGGCUAGGCUGAACCUCCUUGGGCACUCUCUAAUCAGAUGUCCUAGGUCCUCCCAAUUCUUAGACCUUUUAUACCUGUUUUUCUCCUUCUCUUAUUCCAUUUAGUUUUUCAAUUCAUACAAAACCGUAUCCAGGCCAUCACCAAUCAUUCUAUACGACAAAUGUUUCUUCUAACAACCCCACAGUAUCACCCCUUACCGCAAGAUCUUUCUUCAGCUUAAUCUCUCCCACUCUAGGUUCCCACACCGCCCCUAAUCCCACUCAAAGCACCCCUGAGAAACAUCGCCCAUUCUCUCUCCAUACCACCUGCAAAAAUUUUCGCCGCCCCAACACUUCAACACUAUUUUGUUUUAUUUUUCUUAUUAAUAAAAGAAGGCAGGAAUGUCGGGCCUCUGAGCCCAAGCCAAGCCAUCGCAUCCCCUGUGACUUGCAUGUAUAUGCCCAGAUGGCCUGAAGUAACUGAAGAAUCACAAAAGAAGUAAAAAGGCCCUGCCCUGCCUUAACAGAUGACAUUCCACCAUUGUGAUUUGUUCCUGCCCCACCUUAGCUGAGUGAUUAACCCUGUGAAUUUCCUUCUCCUGGCUCAGAAGCUCCCCGACUGAGCACCUUGUGACCCCCGCCCCUGCCCACCAGAGAACAACCCCCUUUGACUGUAAUUUUCCAUUACCUUCCCAAAUCCUAUAAAAUGGCCCCACCCCAUGUCCCUUCGCUGACUCUCUUUUUGGACUCAGCCCGCCUGCACCCAGGUGAAAUAGACAGCCAUGUUGCUCACACAAAGCCUGUUUGCUGGUCUCUUCACACGGACUCGAGUGAAAAUACACACGCACACACACACAAAUGGACAUUUACCCCACUCCUGCUUUUGUGCUAUUGUGGUCAUGCAUAGUAUUUCUUUUUUGCUGUUGUUUUUCUUGUUGUUUUCACUGUCAUACAGGUAUUUAUGAUGGAAACAGAAUCAGAGUCUGACCUUCCUGACUUGAAGUACAAGUGAUAGAUCACAACAAGAGAUCAUGAAGAGGGCAUGGCCGCCAUGUCAUUCUGGAGAGAGACAGAGUAAAACAAAGAAGGCAAUAACCAGACACGGGACUGAGGCCAUCCAUGACCAGCCAGCCCUAGCCAACACACAACACACAAGCUGAUCACAGAUGCAUGAGUAAGCCUGAGACCAGCCAAGACCAGCCUAGAAUAGAACUGCUCAGCAGCAAUAAAAACUAAAUAAAUUGUUACCUUAAGCUACUUUUAGAGCUAUUUGGAAGUGUAUUUUUGUGCAGCUAACAUUUACUAGCAGAUAAAAUGGUGAUUGUUUAUCUCUGUUUUAUUGAUGUUUUAAGGAAAUUGUUUCUAUUAAAAGGAAAUAUCUGGUCUUUGUCACGUUAAAUCAGGUUUAGCCUGAAGUUGUCUCCUUAAAUUUGCGGCACAACUCCCACCCUGCAAUACUUCAAAUUGUUUCACCUUUUUUGACAGAACCAAGGUAUAUCUUAAAUGUACUUGAUUGAUGUCUCAUGUCUCCCUAAAAUGUAUAAAACCAAACUGUGCUCUGACUACCUUGGGUACAUGUUCUGAGGGUCUCCUGAAGGCUGUGUCACAGGCCAUGGUCUUUCAUAUUUGGCUUAAAACAAAUCUCUUCAAAUAUUUUAUGUAGUUUGACUCUUUUCCUCAAUAGAACUCAUCAUUUAACCAGUUAAGUAUUUUGAGUUAGUUUGGGAUUAAACACGAGAGUUUUGACAGGGAGCUGAAACAAUAGUAGUUUCAUCAAAAGUUGAUUCUUGGUGCAUGUAAUUUUCUAUUACAGUGAACACAGAUAAUAAUGAUGCAUAUGUCUUUACCUAGAUUAGAGAAAGGAAGAGAAAAAAUAAAAAUUUUGGAAAUGAGAUAAAAAGAUAUUGAUCUCACUGAUGUUUCUGAAUCUAAGACUGAACUCAAUUAUUAGUUGUAUUUACUGCUUAUUAGAUUUACUAAGAAAGUUCUUUAAGGUACUUACAGCCCUAAAAUUAUUUGCAAUAUUCAAUAGCAAGGGACUUAAAUACAGUCCUGAUUACUCCAUCACAAAAUGCCAAAAACAAUUAGGAUCUUAAAGGAACUACCCAAAUAGGUUUAAGAUAUCACUCAGGCCAUAAAAAUGUUUUUAAAAUUCACAUCACAAAAUAGCCAAAUGACAUAUCAGAAACAAAAGCAAAAAAGUCAUCCUAAUUCAAGGCAAUUACUUUAGCAAUUCAAAAUAAAAUGUUAAAAGUGACCAAAAAACAAAUGCAAAAUAUUUUAAUGACUUUAAAUGGCUGUAUAAUUUCCUCAUCACUUCACUUGGCAGAGUUAAGAUGGCAUUUAACCUAAGUUCACAUCAUUAAAAAAAACACUGCACCAUGAUGCUUUUCUUAAUAUGCAUUCUCAAAUUAGCAUACAGAGAAAAAUGAAACUAUAGUAGAGACGUAAAUUUAAUCCCUAUUUAGGUCACUAGGCAUUUAUUAGCCCCACCACAGGUUAAUACACUUGCAUUUGCAUCUGUUUCUAAAUGCUAAUUAUCUGACCUCAGAACACUCACUUAUGGGCUUCAUUUAUUGAAAAACAAAUCCCUAUGAUUUGAUCGUAGAGUAACUUUUAAUGUCUAACUUUACGUAGUAUAUUACAGUUUUCAAAACAUUUUUAUAAAAAGUAUUUUGUUUAUUUACAGCAACUAUAUAUCAUAGAUAUUAAUGUGUAUAUUUUGCAUUUAAGCAAGUUGGAGUUCGUAAGGUUGAAUUACUUGAAAUGUACAAAUAGAUAGUAGUGAAUAUUUAAAGUACAUUUUUAAAAAUAUGACCCAGAAAAAUAGGUGGCAUUUAAGAAAUAUAAGCAUGGUAUCUAUCUUACAUGUAUAUUAGGAGUGGACAGUUUUCUAAGAUUAGAAGCAAACAGUUGUCAAGCAAGGGUUCUAAUUUUUGUAAGUCUUGUGGGAAAGAAAGAUAAUAGAGGGUUUCAUUGCAAAGAUAUAAAACUACUCUAGAUAAUUUAAGCAAAAACUAAUCUAAUAAAUUGGGUUUUCCAAAUUAUUGAAACACCUUGAGAACUAGUGCCUGGGUAGGCCUGGAGAAAUGACUCCAGGAACAGCAUUACAGAACUCACCUGCCCAGUGGUAACAGUGCCCAGAUUGCUCUUCUCCAUUAUCCAGCCAGAGUUCCAGAUCAGCCUGAAUACUUCACCUCUGGGAAGACUUUGCAGAACCUCCAGAUUUAUGCCACCUCUAUAACCUGUGUAAUAUUAUUACAAUGCAUAUUAUGUUCUAUUUCACUUACAGUCAGCCCUCCUUAUCUGUGGGUUCCACAAACAUGGAUUCAACCCACAGUAAAAUGAAAAUAUUUGGGGAAAAAAUUAAUGUUUGAGUCUGUAUUGAACACGUAGACUUUUUCUUGUCACUGUUCCCUAAACAAUACAGUAUAACAACUAUUUACAUAGUAUUUACAUUAUAUUGGGCAUUAUAAGUAAUUAAAGAUGAUUUAAGUAUAUGGAAAGAUGUAUAUAGGUUAUAUGCAAGUACUGUGCCAUUUUAUAUAAAGCACUUGAACAUCACAGAUUUUGGUAUCAAUGAGGGGUGCUGAAACCAAUUGCCCAUGGAUACCAAGAGACAGCUAUAUUUGUUUCAAUGUGUACCUCUCCUUCUAAACUCAGUUCUUAAGCAUAUAGUAUCUUUAUAGCUAUACACCUAGUGUCUAUCAGACCCUAAACUAUGGUAGGCCCUCAAUACAUUUUAUUGUUAUAGGUAGAUAGAUAGGCAUGAGUAGGGCAGGAGAGGGCUCUCCCUCCACCCACUAGAAAUGUCAAGUGAUGUUUUAAAAAUUGUCACACUGCCUCUCAGAAAAUGAUAAUUCAGCAACCGGGGAGAGACAAUCUUCUGAUGGUCCACACCUAUUAACAUUAAAGUGUUAUUAAAGGCAGACCCCAGAAAGAAGAAACUUACUGGGCAUGCACAUUAAGAGAUAAAAACGGCAAAAUAUUAUCUUCCACGUACCCACAACUGGAAAAAAGGAAGAAAGCUUCAGGUGGGCAUAUGUACUCUUCCUAAACACACUGCGCAUGCUCACUUCCCAACUGUAGAGAGGGCUCUGCACAUACGGGAAGAAUCUCGGGAAAGAGGUGAACCUAUAAAAGGCCAAGAAUCAUGGUUGAACGGGACAUUUGACCUUCUCUCUUAAACCUUCAUGUGCCUGCUUGGGUCUCUUCCAACUGCACCUUCCUUUCUUUCCUGUUCUAAGGCCUUUUUAAAUAAACUUCCACUCAUGCUCUG